rnacentral:rRNA from 1 species
AUUGAACGCUGGCGGUAGGCCUAACAUAUGCAAGUCGAACGCGAAAGUCCUUCGGGAUGAGUAGAGUGGCGGACGGGUGAGUAACGCGUAGGAAUCUGUCCUGUAGUGGGGGAUAACGUUUCGAGAGGAACGCUAAUACCGCAUACGCCCUACGGGGGAAAGCGGGGGAUCUUCGGACCUCGUGCUAUAGGAGGAGCCUGCGUCGGAUUAGCUAGUUGGUGAGGUAAAGGCUCACCAAGGCGACGAUCCGUAGCUGGUCUGAGAGGAUGAUCAGCCACACCGGAACUGAGACACGAUCCGGACUCCUACGGGAGGCAGCAGUGGGGAAUAUUGCGCAAUGGGCGAAAGCCUGACGCAGCCAUACCGCGUGUGUGAAGAAGGCCUUCGGGUUGUAAAGCACUUUCAGUGGGGAGGAAAAGCUGGUGGCUAAUAUCCAUCGGCCGUGACGCUACCCACAGAAGAAGCACCGGCUAAUUCCGUGCCAGCCGCCGCCGUAAUAC